rnacentral:rRNA from 1 species
AUUGAACGCUGGCGGCAGGCCUAACACAUGCAAGUCGAGCGGAUGAAGCCAGCUUGCUUCUGGUUCCAGCGGCGGAAGGGUGAGUAAUGCCUAGGAAUCUGCCUGGUAGUGGGGGAUAAUGUCUGGAAACGGGUGCUAAUACUGCAUACGUCCUGAGCCAGAUAGUGGGGGAUCUUCGGAACUUUCGCUCUCAGAUGAGUCUAGGUCGGAUUAGUUAGUUGGUGGGGUAAGGGCCUACUAAGUCGACGAUCCGUAACUGGACUGAGUGGAUGAUCAGUCACACGGGAACGUGGACACGGUCCAUGGUCCUGCGGGAGGCAGCAGUGUGGAAUGUGGGGCAGUGGUCGGAAGCCUUAUCCAGCCCUGCCGCGUGUGUGAAGAAAGUCUUCGGAUUGUAAAGCACUUUAAGUUGUGGGGAAGGGCAGUAAGUUGAGACCUUGCUGUUUUGACGGUACCAACAGAAGAAGCACCGGCUAACUACGUG